AUGCCACCCGACCGCGAGCUUGAGUUUGCAAUAGAUCUUGUGCCCGGAACCGCACCGUUAUACAAGAAGUAUUACCGGAUGCCCUCAUCAAAAUUAGUGGAGAUAAAGAAACAGCUUGAUGAAAUGCUCCAGAAAGGAUAUAUCUGUCCCAGCUCUUCACCAUGGGGAUCACCUGCUAUUUUCGUGGACAAAAAGGAUGGCAGCCUCCGCAUGUGUGUGGAUUACCGUCAGCUAAACGAUGUCACCAUCAAAAAAUAA
rnacentral:rRNA from 1 species